AAAGCGAGCGGCGGAUGGGUGAGUAACACGUGGGGAACCUGCCCCUAAGUCUGGGAUACCAUUUGGAAACAGGUGCUAAUACCGGAUAAUAAAGCAGAUCGCAUGAUCAGCUUUUGAAAGGCGGCGUAAGCUGUCGCUAAGGGAUGGCCCCGCGGUGCAUUAGCUAGUUGGUAAGGUAACGGCUUACCAAGGCGACGAUGCAUAGCCGAGUUGAGAGACUGAUCGGCCACAUUGGGACUGAGACACGGCCCAAACUCCUACGGGAGGCAGCAGUAGGGAAUCUUCCACAAUGGACGCAAGUCUGAUGGAGCAACGCCGCGUGAGUGAAGAAGGUUUUCGGAUCGUAAAGCUCUGUUGUUGGUGAAGAAGGAUAGAGGUAGUAACUGGCCUUUAUUUGACGGUAAUCAACCAGAAAGUCACGGCUAACUACGUGCCAGCAGCCGCGGUAAUACGUAGGUGGCAAGCGUUGUCCGGAUUUAUUGGGCGUAAAGCGAGCGCAGGCGGAAAAAUAAGUCUAAUGUGAAAGCCCUCGGCUUAACCGAGGAACUGCAUCGGAAACUGUUUUUCUUGAGUGCAGAAGAGGAGAGUGGAACUCCAUGUGUAGCGGUGGAAUGCGUAGAUAUAUGGAAGAACACCAGUGGCGAAGGCGGCUCUCUGGUCUGCAACUGACGCUGAGGCUCGAAAGCAUGGGUAGCGAACAGGAUUAGAUACCCUGGUAGUCCAUGCCGUAAACGAUGAGUGCUAAGUGUUGGGAGGUUUCCGCCUCUCAGUGCUGCAGCUAACGCAUUAAGCACUCCGCCCGGGGAGUACGAACCGCAAGG
rnacentral:rRNA from 1 species